UACGGAAGGCAGCAGUGGGGAAUAUUGCACAAUGGGCGCAAGCCUGAUGCAGCCAUGCCGCGUGUAUGAAAAAGGCCUUCGGGUUGUAAAGUACUUUCAGUCGUGAGGAAGGUGUUAAGGUUAAUAACCUUAGCAAUUGACGUUAGCGACAGAAGAAGCACCGGCUAACUCCGUGCCAGCAGCCGCGGUAAUACGGAGGGUGCGAGCGUUAAUCGGAAUUACUGGGCGUAAAGGGCACGCAGGCGGUUAAUUAAGUUGGAUGUGAAAUCCCCGGGCUUAACCUGGGAAUGGCAUUCAAGACUGGUUAGCUAGAGUCUUGUAGAGGGGGUAGAAUUCCAUGUGUAGCGGUGAAAUGCGUAGAGAUGUGGAGGAAUACCGGUGGCGAAAGGCGGCCCCUGGACAAAGACUGACGCUCAUGUGCGAAAGCGUGGGGAGCAAACAGGGAUUAGAUACC
rnacentral:rRNA from 1 species